GCCCUACCUGUAUGGUGGAUAUGGUUCUCGGCUUGUAACUGAGUGGGUUCGGGUUUGAAUCCCGAGUAAGGCA